rnacentral:rRNA from 1 species
AAAUCAUCAUGCCCUUAUGACCUGGGCUACACACGUGCUACAAUGGUUGGUACAACGAGUUGCGAGUCGGUGACGGCGAGCUAAUCUCUUAAAGCCAAUCUCAGUUCGGAUUGUAGGCUGCAACUCGCCUACAUGAAGUCGGAAUCGCUAGUAAUCGCGGAUCAGCACGCCGCGGUGAAUACGUCCCCGGGCCUU